rnacentral:rRNA from 1 species
UACGUAGGGGGCAAGCGUUGUCCGGAUUUAUUGGGCGUAAAGAGCGUGUAGGCGGCCAGGUAGGUCUGCUGUGAAAACUCGAGGCUCAACCUCGAGACGUCGGCGGAAACCAUCUGGCUAGAGUCCGGAAGAGGAGAGUGGAAUUCCUGGUGUAGCGGUGAAAUGCGCAGAUAUCAGGAAGAACGCCCGUGGCGAAGGCGGCUCUCUGGGACGGUACUGACGCUGAGACGCGAAAGCGUGGGGAGCGAACAGG